rnacentral:rRNA from 1 species
AUGGAACGCUGGCGGCAGGCCUAACACAUGCAAGUCGAGCGGAUGAAGGGAGCUUGCUCCUGGAUUCAGCGGCGGACGGGUGAGUAAUGCCUAGGAAUCUGCCUGGUAGAGGGGGAUAACGUCCGGAAACGGGCGCUAAUACCGCAUACGUCCUGAGGGAGAAAGUGGGGGAUCUUCGGACCUCACGCUAUCAGAUGAGACUAGGUCGGAUUAGCUAGUUGGUGGGGUAAAGGCCUAACAAGGCGACGAUCCGUAACUGGUCUGAGAGGAUGAUCAAUCACACUGGAACUGAGACACGGUCCAGACUCCUACAGGAGGCAGCAGUGGGGAAUAUUUGACAAUGGGCGAAAGCCUGAUCCAGCCAUGCCGCGUGUGUGAAGAAGGUCUUCGGAUUGUAAAGCACUUUAAGUUGGGAGGAAGGGCAGUAAGUUAAUACCUUGCUGUUUUGACGUUACCAACAGAAUAAGCACCGGCUAACUUCGUG